GAGUAAGUGAAUAAGGGCGCACGGGGGAUGCCUAGGCUCUCAGAGGCGAAGAAGGACGUGAUAAGCUGCGAAAAGCUACGGGGAUUGGCCAAUGCGAGUUGAUCCGUAGAUAUCCGAAUGG
rnacentral:rRNA from 1 species